rnacentral:rRNA from 1 species
AUUGAACGCUGGCGGCAUGCCUUACACAUGCAAGUCGAACGGUAACAGGUCUUCGGAUGCUGACGAGUGGCGAACGGGUGAGUAAUACAUCGGAACGUGCCCAGUCGUGGGGGAUAACGAAGCGAAAGCUUUGCUAAUACCGCAUACGAUCUACGGAUGAAAGCGGGGGAACGCAAGACCUCGCGCGAUUGGAGCGGCGGAUGGCAGAUUGGGUAGUUGGUGGGGUAAAGGCUUACAAAGCCUACGAUCUGUAGCUGGUCUGAGAGGACGACCAGCGACACUGGGACUGAGACACGGCCCAGACUCCUACGGGAGGCAGCAGUGGGGAAUUUUGGACAAUGGGCGCAAGCCUGAUCCAGCAAUGCCGCGUGCAGGAUGAAGGCCUUCGGGUUGUAAACUGCUUUUGUACGGAACGAAAAGCUCUGGGUUAAUACCCUGGGGUCAUGACGGUACCGUAAGAAUAAGCACCGGCUAACUACGUGCCAGCAGCCGCAGUAA